GCGCGUGUAGAUCAGUGGUAGAUCACAGGCCUCCUAUGUUUUGAUAGCCUGGGGUCCGGAGUUCAAACCUCCGUUCGCGUC
rnacentral:tRNA from 1 species